rnacentral:rRNA from 1 species
AUUGAACGCUGGCGGCAGGCCUAACACAUGCCAGCCGAGCGAGCGGCGGACGGGUGAGUCAUGUCUGGGUAACUGCCUGAUGGAGGGGGCUAACUGCUGGAAACGGUAGACACUACCACAUACCAUCAGAUGUGCACAGAUGGUAUUAGCUAGUAGGUGGGGUAACGGCUCACCUAGGCGACGAUCCCUAGCUGGUCUGAGAGGAUGACCAGCCACACUGGAACUGAGACACGGUCCAGACUCCUACGGGAGGCAGCAGUGGGGAAUAUUGCACAAUGGGCGAAAGCCUGAUCCAGCCAUGCCGCGUGUGUGAAGAAGGUCUUCGGAUUGUAAAGCACUUUAAGUUGGGAGGCGUUACCAACAGAAUAAGCACCGGCUAACUUCGUGCCAGCCGCCGCGGUAAUAC